ACUGAAAAGCGCGCCAACUAGAAAAAGACGCGUCCAACCAUUGUUAGGGGUGGUUUUCCUGGUAUUAGACCAUUUUAGGUAUUCAAAAUUAUAUAAAACUUGACAAAAUCCUAAUUCCCUACCUUGCGAGGAGCAGAAUACGAAACACUUUAAACAAAUAGUAUAACUAUUUCGAGUGCGAUAAUAUUAUACAUUUAGUUAAUCUGGCAACAAGGCAAAUAUUAAUUUUUUAAUUUCUGUAUGCUUCCCACAAUUAUUGCUGUUUUCUUUUUUCAUUCAACUACCAAAAAUUAUUUAAAAUGGAGCGCGCGAAAUAUAGCUUUAAAACAGUAAUAUGAUUUGCUGUUACUUUGUCUAGUUUUGAUAAAACAAUGUUAAACUUGGCGUAAUUUUUAGAAGUGAAAAUCCUAAAACUGCUUUAACUCCAAGUAGAUUCUUUCAUUCAUAUAUGUCAAGUACCUGAUUAAUUGUGUGCUGAAAAGGAGGUACUAUUUAUUCGAAGUAGAAUUGAAACGAAGGUUGACUUCUCAGGCAAAUAGCACGUCCUUUAUGAUAUUUGUUCUUAUAAACCAGGGUACAUAACCAUUUCGAGGUAGCAUUCAGUGCGAACAAUAACAGGCCGUAGUGCAUUAGCAGAGCUCUUAACGCUUAAAGAAAAUAUAUAUGGGGUAUCAGAGUUUACAAUCACGAGUACAGACAUGUGAUCGGUUGCAUUAGUGGAACUCAUUUUCCUACCCUUAUUUUAGCUUGCGAAGAGUUCAUUAAAUAUAUAACAGCAAGCAACUUCGGAGCAAAGACUAUUCAGCAAUCCUUCGAACAACUAAAAAAUGGAUCGUAGUUCAAUGCAUAUUCAAUCGGUUAAUCGACACGUUAUCCACAACACAAACCAUCCUCAGGCUGAAACAAUAUAUUCAAGUGCAGGCGGAUCCAGCCCAAUGCAAUAUUGUUAUGAACGCCCGAUGAUGCUCAAUACAUGGACACAGACUUCAAAUGCCGAUCUCGGUAUUAGUGAUGAUUAUAUGUAUAAUAAAGAAGAGCAAAAGCAAAGAGAGAAAGCAUUAUUAGAAAAAAUACGUGACCUUGAGUCAAAACUCCGUACCCAGUCAGAAAUGCUUUCGAAACAACCAUCAGGUGGAUGUAGGAGAAGCUCGAAUUCAAAACAAGCAAGAAGCCCGCGACAACAGUUACAAGAAGUAAUCGUAAAUCAAAUACCAGUUCAAUUACAUGAAAACCAUUCCCACGAUGUGCAAAGGCAACAACAUGAACAAUAUACAGAAACACAAUUUCAGAUAUAUAAUACACAGGUGAGUCCAAGGAAUAUACACUGUGAGGAAUUGCCACAAACACAGAUAUCUCCACGACGACGACCGGAGACGUAUUCUUCAGAACAGCAGAGCAGUAAUCAAAAUCAGUAUGUGUCGCAAAAUGUGAACGUAGCUAUUCAACACCAGGACUUGCAUAGUGAUAAUGUACAAGCUCGACCACGGAAGGUGAAUUACACAAUAAUAGCUGAUGGCGGUGUCAACGGUCAAGAUGGACCUAUAGAGAUAGAAAUAGCCGAAGAAGAAAAUGGCUUGAACUUAAAUGGUUCCGCUGAUUCUGAACGUUUAGAAAUAUGCUUGACGGAGGAACAGCCCCAAACUGACGCCAAUGUUAAUUAUAUUAAAUUCGAGAAUGAUGCGGGACAGAAUCAACAAAAUUCUGCUCUGACAGGUUCCGGAAAACGGAAACGAUUUGAAAUGUCUAAAGAGAAUCUUUCACAGAACCCCGAUCAAAACAAUUGCGAUCUUCCAGAAUCCAAACAGGCCGUAUCAGAUUACUUAAACAUACGCGCAGCGACAGAGUCUGCACAAGCUGUGCCUCAAUAUGCUAGUACAGAAAAUUGUGAAAUGUCACAACAACAGCAGUCAGUAGCAGCGGGCGAUAAUCACUCCAAUCUGCCGAUAUUACAGCAGCACCAACAACAACAACAACCGGUCAUUGUAAAUGAAAUCACAAACGAUGUGCAGGAAGUUCCAGCUUUAGCAAGCUCCGAGUUUAAAAAGAAUUCUUAUACAUCGAUUGGGCCAAACAAUACCCGCGUACCGACUAAAAUUUACGAUAGUAUUAAUUGGGAAAAUGCAUCAAUGGCUACAAGAAAACUCAUGAUAGGAGUUUUCGAUCGUUUUACCUUAGCCACACACUCAAUGACUGGAAAGCCCUCACCAGCCUUUAAAGAUCAUAAUAAACCACUUAAGAAAAUGUUAAAUCCUUUAAAGGUACAAGACAUCAUAUUUGCAGUUACUAGACGGAGUAAAGUAAACGAAAAGGAGGUGCGUACUGUUAUAACCACCAAAUGCGCCGAUGAAAACAAAAUGUGGAAAUUAGCACAGGCCAAACUGAAGGAGCAAAACAAAGAGAAUGUUGGUUAGUGUACAAUACAUAAAUUAUUAGAAUAUAAGCACUCAUAUAUAGAUCAAAUUAACUACAUAAGAGGAACAAAUAAUUGUAACAACUCUUUCAUUGAUACUUCUUUUACUCCAAAAAGUUGUCAAUGUUGGAUGUAAAACACACCAUCAUAUAAGAGAUUUUAAGAAUAUUUCAUCGAUCUCGUAAAAAAUUGGUAAAGAAGUACUAGAGUGUAUACCAAAGGUAAAUAAGGCCAAAUACAUUGCACAAUCAAAACUUUAAAAAUAUUUAUUUAUACUGUACACUAUUGUAAUUUAAUGGAAUUGAACAAAUUACCAGAGAUUUGCUCUUGAUAAUUUUUAUAAGUACUCACAUAUGCAUAUAGUUAUAAGUUAUUCAAUGAAUUGAUGAAAUGUUUCACAAUACUGCGUGUCUCAUAAUAAUGUUUAUGUAUACAUUUGUAUGUAUCAAAGUACAUAUAUGCAGGUACAAAUUAUUUGUAAGUUUAUUUAUAAAUUUCUUUUUUCCAAAAUUUAUUAUUGCGCAUUUUAUUCGAAAUGUAGUUUAUGGGCAUAUAUGUACAUACAAAAACAAAAGGUAUACUAAAGGUGGUAUUAUAAAUAUUUUUACUUUACUGUACUUUAUAUUUGCAAAAAAGUAUUUUUGCGGCUACAUAUGAUCAUUUUAGAAUGUACCAUAAACGUUUCGUUUAAUAUAAUACGUUAAUUCAUAUUUAAUGGUUUUAAUUUUAAUACAUAUGUACAUAUAGGGGGAUGCUGCCAUUCAUAAGAAAAAUUAUAUUUUAACGAAUUAGAUUUAGCCAUUACCAAGAAGCUAAUCAUAUUCGGUAUAACGGAAAACACUCAUUUCGAUUGUGUUGUUUUAUAAAAUUUUGUACAGCUGACAAAAAUAAUUUUUGUUUUAAUGUUCAACUCUGCAUUAUCGACAUCCAUAUGCAUACGUUUGCUUGAAAUUUUAAUAUUUGGAAAGCGGUCAAAAUUAACAGUUGUGCCUAAUUUUACGUUCCCAUGACGGUGGCAGUUGCAGAAAGCGCAUAAAAUUUCCCAAAACAAUCAUUAUCAGCUGUAUAUUUUCCCAAAACAUUACCCAUUUUUUACGCACCAACGACGGAUAGGCGGCUGUCAGUUUUUAUGAGAAGAAGGCGAAUACAUCUUCAAAACGUAAGCAAGAGAACGGAACGGUAGGAAAGGUUGAAAAAGAUAAAAAGUGACAGCAUAGAGAAAAUUUCGAGCAAAUUCUUUUCCUAUCAGUGCAAUCAAGAGUUUUAAAGAUUAGUUGCAACAUCAAGCAAAAUAAAAAAAUAUAUAAUAUAUUACUAUUCAAAAAAACCAGUGUUUGGACGCUAUUGAGUGGCGAAAUAGUAUUGUGAUAAACAUACUUGUGAUUGUUAUUUGAACUUAAUUCUGAUUGUGUGGUCGUCGUGUGACGUUCUAUUCGGAUUCAAUUCUACUGUGUUGGUCGUUGUAGCGGUGCUUGAAAAGUGCAAAAAAUGGAUAUCUUGCGUAAAAUGUUCAAAAUGAACGAAAAGGAAUCAUCAAGCUUGAACGGAACCGACCGUAAGGAAGAUGCAACUGCAAAGGACGAGUUUCGGAAGCCGCAGUGGUUCGAAGAAGCAGAAACAGACGACGAGCUGUUUGAUGAUAACCGCAAGUUUGCUUUUCAAAUAUUCACAAAUCCUGUAGAGCUGCAAAAGCACUUCGAGAGACAAAUGCAGCAAAUUUUGGAGGCAGUUAAUGAAUUUGAAGAUGGUGAUGUUAAAAUUGACAAAGAUUUGAAGGAGGACUUUUUAAAGCCAGGCUUUGAAAAUAUUGAUAUUUUGAAAGAGUUUGAAAAGAAGAAAGCAGAAAUAAUGGACACUGAUCUAGAUGGCGAAAUUUAUGCUGAUCAGUUGCAUUCCCUAAUGCAACGCUUAUCACCCAAUGAGGAAUUGCCCAACAUUUUACCACGCAACGACAACAAGGCUAUUCGUAAUCCUAUACGUAAACAAAAAUUGAGCGACGAGGAGAAAAUUUUGGGUAAAAUACAUGGUACCCUAGACAGUGAUGACGCCCCGAAGCAACCACGUAUGCCGCGCACUCGGCCCGAUAUGAUGACACCAAUGACUCCCAUGAUACCACGUGGAUCAGCACCAUUUGGUGGAGGAGUUUUUGAAGGAACUUAUCAGGGUCCGAAAAUGUUCAGCCAGAGCGUAAUGUCUAAAACUAUACGUAAACCGGAUGGUAGUUAUGAGACUACGAAGGUUACCAAGGACUCCCAAGGUAAUACAACAACAACUAUAACACGUACCAUUGAUGGAAAAUCAGAAACAAUUACCACAUACGAUAACGCUGGCGGUUCCGGUGUAAUUAAACAAAAGGAGGGUGGCAUCGCCAAGUCCGAAGAGUAUUCGGAUCGCAAUAUUUACGUAACAAAAGAAGGUUACGCCGUACCAAGGAACCUCUGGUGACCAGUGGUGCUUAUUGGCCGAAUCCUUGUUGGCAACUUAUUACCCGUCUAUAUUCAAAUUCAGAUAUACUAUGUAUUAGUAACUAGAUCCUUAAGUGUUUGGUGUUUUAGAUGAAAUUCAAUUGAGGCUACAGAUAGCAGAUAGCAUUGCAAGAGCAGCAGCGGCAGCAAUAAUAACAGCAACAACACGGAUGACCGCAGCAUCCACACGUAUAACCGAAACAUAUACAGAAACAGUAUGGUAGACGUACACAGGUGAAUUUGGCAUUAAUAUUUGUUCAUCUUUUGAUGUAAAUUGGAAUUGUGUAAACGAUUUACAUAGGAUGUUCACUUUUU